CAAGUCACAAGAGGAGUCAGGGGAGCAAGGGACCUAUAGGCCCUGUUCCCUGAGAACUCAGGAAUCCAGGCCCCCAGCCCUUGCCCUCAGAACCAGGAGUCUCAAUGCUUAUUACUUCUGGGUAUUAGAUCGAGAUCACCUGAAGCGCCUGACUCCACACCAUGGAUGCCACCUCAGCAGUGACUCCAAUGCCCUUCAGAUCUCAGAGGCUGAGGGCCAGCACCAGGACCCUGGGGGCCACCCAAAUCAUCAACAGACCAUGCUCAGGAAGACAGCUGGGCUGUAGGAUUGAGGACACAGAGCAGCCUGCACUCUCCCUAUGAGCCAGGAGAGCUGUCACCAACUGGCAAGAAUGGAUAUGAAUGGCAGGGAUCACUGGCCAGCAGGCUCUCGGAAACUUGGCCGUUUGACCUCUUAUCAUCGGUAAGAACCGACCGUCCUGUUCUUGCCCGGAGGACCUGUCACUUUGACAGGGAGAAGCUGCCUCCAUCUCUAACCAGAGUUUUUCCUGGAGAGCCGGCCAGGACAAGCAUCCCGAGGUAAGAGAAGGCAAAAGCAAGGAGCAGAAAGCUCGGUUACGCGAUCUCUUUGUGAAAAAGAAAAGCUCACUGUAAAUGUCAGCGGAGGCAUAAAGAAAUGUGGCUUUUGGAAAAGGGCUCUGCUGAGUGGGACAGAGGAGGAGGAAGAAGGAGCUUCCCUCUGCACUCUGGAGACUUUCCUGUUUGAAUAUGGCUUUUUCUUAACGAGGAGAAAAUAUGGGUGUUCUUUGUAACUCUGAACUAAAAGCACACAGAGUUCGCCAUGCCUCCUUCCAGUCCCUUUAAUCAGUGAAGCCCGAAAAACUGCACACAUGCCUACAUCUCACUCAUCAGUGAGCCUCAAAGAGGAGCCCCUGGCGCAGGGUGUCCUGGUUACACCCCUCCAGGAGCAUCCCCCAGCCUCAGGCCUCCAGAGGCAGAGUUAGCCAAUCGCAGUCCUUCAGGAUCCCUCCGACCCCCCAGCAACUCAAACCCGAGGCAGUGACCCUCUUGACUCUGCUCCCCCAUCACUGUGUGCCCCAAACUUUUCGUGAUCAGUGGUCUCCUAAAUCCCUGCAUCCGCGUUACCCUAACACUGAAAUCUCAUCUCUGCUGUGUCCUCAAAACGCGGUCCCUAAGCCAUGUACCUCCAUAAUAUUGGGACACUUUCCCCCAAGUUGUACCCCCUCCCUCAAUGGCACCAAAUUCUGUCCCUAGCCCCAGUCCCCCCAACCCCCACCUCAAACAGCUACUGGACAGAGGAACCAAAUCACGGUCCCUCCCCUGCAGAUGUUGCUGUUUUUCCUCUCUCCACCCCAGUCCUCCUCCCCCACCAUCCAGCGCGGGGGCUGUAGGGUUGGCGCCCACAGGCCGCGCCCGGACCCCCGCAGCCAAUCAGCGACUGCCGCACACCCCCGCGGCGGCCAAUCCGCAGCAGCUUUGCAGCCCCACCCCCGCACCUGCGGGGCGCAGCUGCUACUGGGCGCCGCGCCCCAAGAGACCUCCCUCAGCCAAAACUCGGGAGUCCUGGCCCUACCACCUUCUCCCUCUGACCCCGAUGUCUCAACCCCGCUUCCUCUUCCCUCAGGAAUUGUCGUGGUAGUCACUUUCCUGCUCCACAGGCCAGGAGGUCCAAACUACUUUCCCCAAGGGUCAAGAAUAAAGAGGCCUUCUCCUUC